rnacentral:rRNA from 1 species
UAGGGAAUCUUCCACAAUGGGCGAAAGCCUGAUGGAGCAACGCCGCGUGAGCGAUGAAGGCCUCGGGUCGUAAGCUCUGUCCUCAAGGAAGAUAAUGACGGUACUUGAGGAGGAAGCCCCGGCUAACUACGUGCC